rnacentral:misc_RNA from 1 species
ACCGGCAAGCGCGCCGUUCCGGUUGCCUGCGCGGCCUUGGUCAGCAAUUUGUUGCGCGUCGGGAUGAACUCGGCGUUCUGAUAGUCGCGCCAUUCGGUGACAUCGAAGACCGGGCGGAUCAGCGACGCGGCGCGCUCCGGCGCGGAUGUCGCGGUCGAUAGCGUCAAUCCUCCGGGCCGGGUCAGGGUCAGGGUGUCGGAGGAUAUGCCCGCAGUGAUGUCGUCGGACUUCUGCUGGAUGACGACGCCGUGGAUCGAUUCCAGCAGCGAGAAUUCAACGAAGUCCUGGCGCUUGAUGAAGCCGCGCGCCGGCGCACCGGCGGUCAUCACCAGCAG